rnacentral:rRNA from 1 species
AGUGAACGCUGGCGGUAGGCCUAACACAUGCAAGUCGAACGGCAGCACAGUAAGAGCUUGCUCUUACGGGUGGCGAGUGGCGGACGGGUGUGGAAUACAUCGGAAUCUACUUUUUCGUGGGGGAUAACGUAGGGAAACUUACGCUAAUACCGCAUACGACCUACGGGUGAAAGCAGGGGAUCUUCGGACCUUGCGCGAUUGAAUGAGCCGAUGUCGGAUUAGCUAGUUGGCGGGGUAAAGGCCCACCAAGGCGACGAUCCGUAGCUGGUCUGAGAGGAUGAUCAGCCACACUGGAACUGAGACACGGUCCAGACUCCUACGGGAGGCAGCAGUGGGGAACAUUGGACAAUGGGCGCAAGCCUGAUCCAGCCAUACCGCGUGGGUGAAGAAGGCCUUCGGGUUGUAAAGCCCUUUUGUUGGGAAAGAAAAGCAGCAGGUUAAUACCCCGCUGUUCUGACGGUACCCAAAGAAUAAGCACCGGCUAACUUCGUG